UAACAAUUUUUAUACGACCGCAAAAAUUAAAAAUUUUUUGGUCGUAUAUUGGUAUGACGUUGGCGUCGUCGUCGUCGUCGUCGUCGUCGUUGUCGUCGUCGUCGUCGUCGUCGUCCGAAGACACAUUGGUUUUCGCACUCUAACUUUAGUUUAAGUGAAUGGAUCUCCAUGAAAUUUCACCAUAAGGUUCAAUACCACAAAAGGAAGGUUGGGAUUGAUUUUGGGGGUUAUGGUACCAACAGUUAAGGAAUUAGGGGCCAAAAAGGGGCCAAAAAUAAGCAUUUUUGUAACUUUCAGACAAUAACUUGUGUGUAAGUGUAUGGAUCUCUCUGACAUUGUACCACAAGGUUCCAUAUCACAAAGGGAAGGCUGUAAUUGAUUUUGGGGGUAAUUGCCUCAAAAUUUUAGGAAUUAGGGGCCAAAAAAGGGGCAAAAAACAAGCAUUUUUCUAGUUUCAUGACAAUAACUUGUGUGUAAGUGUUUGGAUAUUUCUGAAAUUGUACUGCAAGGUUCCAUAUCACAAAGGGAAAGCUGGAAUUGAGUUUGGGGGUAAUUGCCCGAAACGUUUAGGAAUUGGGGGCCAAAAAGGGGCCAAAAAUAAGCAUUUUUCUAGUUUCCAGACAAUAACUUGUGUUCAAGUGUAUGGAUCUCUCUGAAAUUGUACUGCAAGGUACCAUACCACAAAGGGAAGGCUGGGAUUGAGUUUGGGGGUGAUGAAUCAUAAGGGGGUUCAAAAAAUUUGGGGGGGGGGAUUUUUUUUUUUUUUUUUUUCUUUUUUUCCUUUUUUUUACUUUUAAAAUUUUCCAUUUUAAGUUGGUUAUUUCUGAUUUAUAUUUAAAAGCAAAUAAUAAUGAUAUGGUAGGAGAUACACACCAAACAGGAUGUGUAAAUUAUUAUAUAAUAAGUAUUGUGCAAUAGCAAGAAAUUUUCAAUUGCACAGUAUUGCACAAUAGCAAGAAAUCUUCAAUUGCACAGUAUUGCGCAAUAGCAAGAAAUCUUCAAUUUAACAGUAUUGCACAAUAGCAAGAAAUAUCCAAUAGCACAAUAUUGCGCAAUAGCAAGAACUUGUCAAUUGUACAGUAUUGCGCAAUAGCAAGAAAUAUUCAAUUGCACAGUAUUGUGCAAAAGAAGAUACUUCGUAUAAAUUGCUUAUUUCUUGAUCAAUUUCAAUGGGGUUUUAUUCUUGAAUUCUUGGGGUUCUUUAAUAUGCUGAAUCUAACCGUGUAUUAAGUUUUUAGAUUUUGGGCCCCGUUUUUGAAUUGGUCCACAUUGAGGUCCAAAGGGUCCAAAAUUAAACUUUGUUUGAUUUCAUCAAAAAUUGAAUUAUUGGGGUUCUUUGAUAUGCCAAAUCUAACCGUGUAUUUAGAUUUUUAAUUUUGGGUCCUGUUUUUUAAAUUUGUCUACAUUAAGGUCCAAAGGGUCCAAAAUUAAACUUAGUUUGAUUUUAACAAAAAUUGAAUUUUUGGGGUUCUUUGAUAUGCUGAAUCUAAACAUGUGUUUAGAUUUUUGAUUAUGGGACCAGUUUUCAAGUUGGUCCAAGUUGGGGUCCAAAAUUAAACUUUGUUUGAUUUCAACAAAAAUUGAAUAUAUGGGGUUCUUUGAUAUGCUGAAUCUAAACAUGUAUUUAGAUUUUAGAUUUUUGGCCCAGUUUUCAAGAUGGUCCAAAUUGGGGUCCAAAAUUAAACUUUGUUUGAUUUCAACAAAAAUUGAAUAUAUGGGGUUCUUUGAUAUGCUGAAUCUUACCAUGUAUUUAGACUUUUUAUUUGUGGGCCCGCUAUCAAAUUGGUUCAUAUUGAGGUCAAAAGGGUCCAAAAUUAAACUUUGUUUGAUUUCAUCAAAAAUUGAAUUAUUGGGGUUCUUUGAUAUGCCAAAUCUAACUGUGUUUUUAGAUUUUUAAUUUAGGGUCCCGUUUUUAUACGACCGCAAAAAUUAAAAAUUUUUUGGUCGUAUAUUGGUAUGACGUUGGCGUCGUCGUCGUCGUCGUCGUCGUCGUCGUCCUUGUCGUCGUCGUCGUCGUCGUCCGGCGUCGUCUGGCGUCGUCCGAAGACACAUUGGUUUUCGCACUCUAACUUUAGUUUAAGUGAAUGGAUCUCCAUGAAAUUUCACCAUAAGGUUCAAUACCACGAAAGGAAGGUUGGGAUUGAUUUUGGGGGUUAUGGUACCAACAGUUAAGGAAUUAGGGGCCAAAAAGGGGCCAAAAAUAAGCAUUUUUGUAAUUUUCAGACAAUAACUUGUGUGUAAGUGUAUAGAUCUCUCUGACAUUGUACCACAAGGUUCCAUAUCACAAAGGGAAGGCUGUAAUUGAUUUUGGGGGUAAUUGCCUCAAAAUUUUAGGAAUUAGGGGCCAAAAAAGGGGCAAAAAACAAGCAUUUUUCUAGUUUCAUGACAAUAACUUGUGUGUAAGUGUUUGGAUAUUUCUGAAAUUGUACUACAAGGUUCCAUAUCACAAAGGGAAAGCUGGAAUUGAGUUUGGGGGUAAUUGCCCGAAACGUUUAGGAAUUGGGGGCCAAAAAGGGGCCAAAAAACAAGCAUUUUUCUAGUUUCCAGACAAUAACUUGUGUUCAAGUGUAUGGAUCUCUCUGAAAUUGUACUGCAAGGUACCAUACCACAAAGGGAAGGCUGGGAUUGAGUUUGGGGGUGAUGAAUCAUAAGGGGGUUCAAAAAAUUUGGGGGGGGGGAUUUUUUUUUUUUUUUUUUUUCUUUUUUUCCUUUUUUUUACUUUUAAAAUUUUCCAUUUUAAGUUGGUUAUUUCUGAUUUAUAUUUAAAAGCAAAUAAUAAUGAUAUGGUAGGAGAUACACACCAAACAGGAUGUGUAAAUUAUUAUAUAAUAAGUAUUGUGCAAUAGCAAGAAAUUUUCAAUUGCACAGUAUUGCACAAUAGCAAGAAAUCUUCAAUUGCACAGUAUUGCGCAAUAGCAAGAAAUCUUCAAUUUAACAGUAUUGCACAAUAGCAAGAAAUAUCCAAUAGCACAAUAUUGCGCAAUAGCAAGAACUUGUCAAUUGUACAGUAUUGCGCAAUAGCAAGAAAUAUUCAAUUGCACAGUAUUGUGCAAAAGAAGAUACUUCGUAUAAAUUGCUUAUUUCUUGAUCAAUUUCAAUGGGGUUUUAUUCUUGAAUUCUUGGGGUUCUUUAAUAUGCUGAAUCUAACCGUGUAUUAAGUUUUUAGAUUUUGGGCCCCGUUUUUGAAUUGGUCCACAUUGAGGUCCAAAGGGUCCAAAAUUAAACUUUGUUUGAUUUCAUCAAAAAUUGAAUUAUUGGGGUUCUUUGAUAUGCCAAAUCUAACCGUGUAUUUAGAUUUUUAAUUUUGGGUCCUGUUUUUUAAAUUUGUCUACAUUAAGGUCCAAAGGGUCCAAAAUUAAACUUAGUUUGAUUUUAACAAAAAUUGAAUUCUUAGGGUUCUUUGAUAUGCUGAAUCUAAACAUGUGUUUAGAUUUUUGAUUAUGGGACCAGUUUUCAAGUUGGUCCAAGUUGGGGUCCAAAAUUAAACUUUGUUUGAUUUCAACAAAAAUUGAAUAUAUGGGGUUCUUUGAUAUGCUGAAUCUAAACAUGUAUUUAGAUUAUAGAUUUUUGGCCCAGUUUUCAAGUUGGUCCAAAUUGGGGUCCAAAAUUAAACUUUGUUUGAUUUCAACAAAAAUUGAAUAUAUGGGGUUCUUUGAUAUGCUGAAUCUUACCAAGUAUUUAGAUUUUUUAUUUGUGGGCCCGCUAUCAAAUUGGUUCAUAUUGAGGUCAAAAGGGUCCAAAAUUAAACUUUGUUUGAUUUCAUCAAAAAUUGAAUUAUUGGGGUUCUUUGAUAUGCCAAAUCUAACCGUGUAUUUAGAUUUUUAAUUUUGGGUCCUGUUUUUCAAAUUGGUCUACAUUAAGGUCCAAAGGGUCCAAAAUUAAACUUAGUUUGAUUUUAACAAAAAUUGAAUUUUUGGGGUUCUUUGAUAUGCUGAAUCUAAACAUGUGUUUAGAUUUUUGAUUAUGGGACCAGUUUUCAAGUUGGUCCAAGUUGGGGUCCAAAAUUAAACUUUGUUUGAUUUCAACAAAAAUUGAAUAUAUGGGGUUCUUUGAUAUGCUGAAUCUAAACAUGUAUUUAGAUUUUAGAUUUUUGGCCCAGUUUUCAAGAUGGUCCAAAUUGGGGUCCAAAAUUAAACUUUGUUUGAUUUCAACAAAAAUUGAAUAUAUGGGGUUCUUUGAUAUGCUGAAUCUUACCAUGUAUUUAGACUUUUUAUUUGUGGGCCCGCUAUCAAAUUGGUUCAUAUUGAGGUCAAAAGGGUCCAAAAUUAAACUUUGUUUGAUUUCAUCAAAAAUUGAAUUAUUGGGGUUCUUUGAUAUGCCAAAUCUAACUGUGUUUUUAGAUUUUUAAUUUAGGGUCCCGUUUUUAUACGACCGCAAAAAUUAAAAAUUUUUUGGUCGUAUAUUGGUAUGACGUUGGCGUCGUCGUCGUCGUCGUCGUCGUCGUUGUCGUCGUCGUCGUCGUCGUCCGGCGUCGUCUGGCGUCGUCCGAAGACACAUUGGUUUUCGCACUCUAACUUUAGUUUAAGUGAAUGGAUCUCCAUGAAAUUUCACCAUAAGGUUCAAUACCACGAAAGGAAGGUUGGGAUUGAUUUUGGGGGUUAUGGUACCAACAGUUAAGGAAUUAGGGGCCAAAAAGGGGCCAAAAAUAAGCAUUUUUGUAAUUUUCAGACAAUAACUUGUGUGUAAGUGUAUAGAUCUCUCUGACAUUGUACCACAAGGUUCCAUAUCACAAAGGGAAGGCUGUAAUUGAUUUUGGGGGUAAUUGCCUCAAAAUUUUAGGAAUUAGGGGCCAAAAAAGGGGCAAAAAACAAGCAUUUUUCUAGUUUCAUGACAAUAACUUGUGUGUAAGUGUUUGGAUAUUUCUGAAAUUGUACUACAAGGUUCCAUAUCACAAAGGGAAAGCUGGAAUUGAGUUUGGGGGUAAUUGCCCGAAACGUUUAGGAAUUGGGGGCCAAAAAGGGGCCAAAAAUAAGCAUUUUUCUAGUUUCCAGACAAUAACUUGUGUUCAAGUGUAUGGAUCUCUCUGAAAUUGUACUGCAAGGUACCAUACCACAAAGGGAAGGCUGGGAUUGAGUUUGGGGGUGAUGAAUCAUAAGGGGGUUCAAAAAAUUUGGGGGGGGGAGAUUUUUUUUUUUUUUUUUUUUCUUUUUUUCCUUUUUUUUUUCUUUUAAAAUUUUCCAUUUUAAGUUGAUUAUUUCUGAUUUAUAUUUAAAAGCAAAUAAUAAUGAUAUGGUAGGAGAUACACACCAAACAGGAUGUGUAAAUUAUUAUAUAAUAAGUAUUGUGCAAUAGCAAGAAAUUUUCAAUUGCACAGUAUUGCACAAUAGCAAGAAAUCUUCAAUUGCACAGUAUUGCGCAAUAGCAAGAAAUCUUCAAUUGCACAGUAUUGCGCAAUAGCAAGAAAUAUCCAAUAGCACAAUAUUGCGCAAUAGCAAGAAAUUGUCAAUUGUACAGUAUUGCGCAAUAGCAAGAAAUAUUCAAUUGCACAGUGUUGUGCAAAAGAAGAUACUUCGUAUAAAUUGCUUAUUUCUUGAUCAAUUUCAAUGGGGUUUUAUUCUUGAAUUCUUGGGGUUCUUUAAUAUGCUGAAUCUAACCGUGUAUUAAGUUUUUGGAUUUUGGGCCCCGUUUUUAAAUUGGUCCACAUUGAGGUCCAAAGGGUCCAAAAUUUAACUUUGUUUGAUUUCAUCAAAAAUUGAAUUAUUGGGGUUCUUUGAUAUGCCGAAUCUAACCGUGUAUUUAGAUUUUUAAUUUGGGGUCCCGUUUUUUAAAUUGGUCUACAUUAAGGUCCAAAGGGUCCAAAAUUAAACUUAAUUUGAUUUUAACAAAAAUUGAAUUCUUGGGGUUCUUUGAUAUGCUGAAUCUAAACAUGUGUUUAGAUUUUUGAUUAUGGGCCCAGUUUUCAAGUUGGUCCAAGUUGGGGUCCAAAAUUAAACUUUGUUUGAUUUCAACAAAAAUUGAAUAUAUGGGGUUAUUUGAUAUGCAAAAUCUAAACAUGUAUUUAGAUUUUAGAUUUUUGGCCCAGUUUUCAAGUUGGUCCAAAUUGGGGUCCAAAAUUAAACUUUGUUUGAUUUCAACAAAAAUUGAAUAUAUGGGGUUCUUUGAUAUGCUGAAUCUUACCAUGUAUUUAGAUUUUUUAUUUGUGGGCCUGCUAUCAAAUUGGUUCAUAUUGAGGUCAAAAGGGUCCAAAAUUAAACUUUGUUUGAUUUCAUAAAAAAUUGAAUUAUUGGGGUUCUUUGAUAUGCCAAAUCUAACUGUGUAUUUAGAUUUUUAAUUUUGGGUCCUGUUUUUUAAAUUGGUCUACAUUAAGGUCCAAAGGGUCCAAAAUUAAACUUAGUUUGAUUUUAACAAAAAUUGAAUUUUUGGGGUUCUUUGAUAUGCUGAAUCUAAACAUGUGUUUAGAUUUUUAAUUAUGGGACCAGUUUUCAAGUUGGUCCAAGUUGGGGUCCAAAAUUAAACUUUGUUUGAUUUCAACAAAAAUUGAAUAUAUGGGGUUCUUUGAUAUGCUGAAUCUAAACAUGUAUUUAGAUUUUAGAUUUUUGGCCCAGUUUUCAAGUUGGUCCAAAUUGGGGUCCAAAAUUAAACUUUGUUUGAUUUCAACAAAAAUUGAAUAUAUGGGGUUCUUUGAUAUGCUGAAUCUUACCAUGUAUUUAGAUUUUUUAUUUGUGGGCCCGCUAUCAAAUUGGUUCAUAUUGAGGUCAAAAGGGUCCAAAAUUAAACUUUGUUUGAUUUCAUCAAAAAUUGAAUAAUUGGGGUUCUUUGAUAUGCCAAAUCUAACCGUGUUUUUAGAUUUUUAAUUUUGGGUCCCGUUUUUUAAAUUUGUCUACAUUAAGGUCCAAAGGGUCCAAAAUUAAACUUAGUUUGAUUUUAACAAAAAUUGAAUUCUUCGGGUACUUUGAUAUGCUGAAUCUAAACAUGUGUUUAGAUUUUUGAUUAUGGGACCAGUUUUCAAGUUUGUCCAAGUUGGGGUCCAAAAUUAAACUUUGUUUGAUUUCAACAAAAAUUGAAUAUAUGGGGUUCUUUGAUAUGCUGAAUCUAACCAUGUAUUUUGAUUUUGGACAUUGGACCAUAAUAGGUAAAUUAAAAAAAUUGAAGUUCUUAGACCACAUUCUUUCUGUGUCAGAAACCUAUGCUGUGUCAAAUAUUUAAUCACAAUCCAAAUUCAGAGCUGUAUCAAGCUUGAAUGUUGUGUCCAUACUUGCCCCAACUGUUCAGGGUUCGACCUCUGCGGUCGUAUCAAGCUGCGCCCAGCGAAGCAUUUUAUUCGAAAU